CCAGUUGAUACAUCUGUCACAGAAAGUAAUACUCAUAACCAUAAAACUGCUUUCUUUUUGCCACACCGCAUCAUUUUGUGAUUAAUUAAAUGCCACUUUGUAACACAGCAAUACAACAGAGACCUUGGCUAUUUUGGAAAUUCAAUAUCU